rnacentral:rRNA from 1 species
CAUGUCUUUUUGAUUAUAAUUUAAAGUUUAAUCUGCUCAAUGAGUUAUUAAAUUGCCGCAGUAUUUUGACUGUGCAAAGGUAGCAUAAUAAUUAGCUUUUUAAUUGAGAGCUGGAAUGAAUGAUUGGACGAGAAAAUUACUGUCUCUUUAUUAUUUUUAUUUAAUUUAACUUUUAAGUUAAAAGGCUUAAAUAUUUUUAAAAGACGAGAAGACCCUAUAGAGUUUUAUUUUUAUUUAUUAAUUUAUUUUUAGUAUUUAAAAUGUUUUAAUAAAUAAAAAAUUUGGUUGGGGUGACUAAAAGAUAUAAAUAACUCUUUUAAUUAUAAUCAUUUAUUUGUGAAUAUAAAAUCUAUUUUUUUAAUUUUAAAAUAAAUUACCUUAGGGAUAACAGCGUUAUAUUUCUUUAAAGUUCUUAUUAAAAGAAAUGAUUGCGACCUCGAUGUUGGAUUAAAAUUUAUUUUAGGUGUAGAAGCUUAAAUAUUAAGUCUGUUCGACUUUUAAAAUUUUACAUGAUCUGAGU